GACCCCAUCGUCCAGCUUGGCCCAGGACACCGGCCUUUCAAGCCGGCAACGCGGGUUCAAAUCCCGCUGGGGUCGCCA
rnacentral:tRNA from 1 species